GGGGAGAACCAGAUGUUCCCCCAAAGGUUCCGAAGUAACAUGGGCUCCCCUCCACCAGUACACGUUUUCUCUCCAGUGAGCUCGCUGGGUUUCCAGCAUUUUCCUCCUGGAGGAGGGAUCCCAAGCUCAUAUUUAUGUUCUGUCUGAAAUUAAUGCAAGGGAAACUUUCAAAUGCUAAUCUAUCUUCCAGGAUUAGCCGGCCGGAUGUCAAGUGACAGAGGUGUUUGUUUUCCUGAGGAAGUGUGACAGGAGGGCUGCAUGGAGGGACUUUGGGAUGCAUGGACACUGGGGGUACCACAGGGCUUCUGAUCUCCCAAGGAAGGUCUGCCUGGGAAACUGGCAGAGCUGGGUCCUUUUUCUCCUGUUUCACCAGCCAGCCCAGGGCAGGGUGGGGGCAUUUUCUGUUCAGUAAGGGCCAGGAUGACGCCUCCCCUGCACCCAGUCUUGUGCCAGGAAUUGAGACACAUGGUCCCCACCCCGGAGGAGGUCACAGUGCAGGGAGGGGAGGGAGAACAGGCAGGCAAACCCUUACAGGGCAGUGAGAGCCCAGCAGCGAGGGAGGGCCACCAGGGGCUAUGGGGCUGAAAAGGAAGGGCUUUCACGACAGAGGACAUAGCACAUGCACAGACUGGGAGAUGACAGAGUGCUCAGCACAAGCAGACCUGUGAUAAGGAAAUCAUGCAGGGCUGUGAGAGCCCAGCUCCGAGGUCGUGGAAAGCCCAGGCAGAAGAGGAAAAGGGCACUCUCAGCAGAGCAGAGGGCCCAAGCAGCAGCUGGAGUUUUCAUUUUGAGGGGAGGAGACUGGCCAUCAGUAAGAAUGACCUAUCAACGUGACCAACAUUUCACUCAGCUUCUGUUUCUCUCACUUCCCGUCUGCACCUCGACUUACCCAUCUGCCGAACGGAAUAAUAAAUACCACCCUGUCUCCCGCCAAGAGGAAUUGAGGACAUAGAGGUCAUAUGAACGUCCUUCAGGCAGGAUCGUACCACCCUGCAGACAGCUAAUGCUGCUGUUAGUAAUAAAAAAGAUGUUACUGGUGUUUGA